AGUGAACGCUGGCGGCGUGCCUAACACAUGCAAGUCGAGCGAGCGGCGGACGGGUGAGUAAUGUCUGGGAAACUGCCUGAUGGCGGGGGAUAACUAAUGGAAACGGUAGCUAAUACCGCAUACCAUCAGAUGUGCCCAGAUGGGAUUAGCUUUUAGUGGGGGUAAUGGCUCACCUAGGCGACGAUCCCUAGCUGGUCUGAGAGGAUGACCAGCCACACUGGAACUGAGACACGGUCCAGACUCCUACGGGAGGCAGCAGUGGGGAAUAUUGCACAAUGGGCGCAAGCCUGAUGCAGCCAUGCCGCGUGUGUGAAGAAGGCCUUCGGGUUGUAAAGCACUUUCAUCGAGGAGGCGGUACUCGAAGAAGAAGCACCGGCUAACUCCGUGCCAGCAGCCGCGGUAAUAC
rnacentral:rRNA from 1 species